UCCUGGUGAUGAGACAGGUGCCUUGUAAAGGACUUCUCUUCUGGGAUUUCCAGAGAGAAUAGCCUCUAAAUACCAUAGAUCCAAAGUCUUAGUCAGUCAGUUACUGUAAAAGGUAAAUGCAGUUAUUUCUUAGCCCAGCCCUUUGAAGGCAGCUCACUAUUAUUAUUAGUAGUAGUAUUUAUAGCAUAGUAGUGCCUAGAGACUCCAACCAAGGGCACCAUACCGGUUUGCUAGGCACUGUACAACCACAAAAUAAGAGGCAAUGCUUGCAAUCUAAAUAGACAAGACAAAUAAGGGCUGGGAGAAAGGACGUAUAAUUAUCCCAGUUCACAAGUGAAAGCAAAGUCUGGUGCUAGCAGUCCUGCUGGAGAGAUUGCAGAAGAAAAUAAAAGAAUGAAGCACCAUCAUAAAAUGAAGGUCAAACAGUACUCUAGCCUUAAUACUGCUAUAAUGGUCACCAACGCUACUGUGUCCUCAGUUCACAAGAAUCAUAUGCUAUUCGUGCAGAUAUACUCUUCCUUCAGGACACCCCUGUCCAAGCCCCACUGCUUCAGAUCCAGAUUAACACGGCUACCCCUCUGAUACUUGACACCAUGUUUUAGUGACUAGACAGACUGACAGGCCAUAUCAUCAGGAGUUGUGACACUGUUCACAUAUUUUUAAGUAAAAAGUUUUAAUUGUGGAUGUUCACAACUGUUUGAUAAAUUGACAGAACUAGAA